UAAUACGGAGGGUGCAAACGUUGCUCGGAAUCAUUGGGCGUAAAGCGAGCGUAGGCGGUCUUAUAAGUCGGAUGUGAAAGCCCUCGGCUCAACCGAGGAAGUGCACCCGAAACUGCAAGACUUGAGUGUCGGAGAGGGUGACGGAAUUCCCGGUGUAGAGGUGAAAUUCGUAGAUAUCGGGAGGA
rnacentral:rRNA from 1 species